rnacentral:rRNA from 1 species
GACGAACGCUGGCGGCGUGCUUAACACAUGCAAGUCGAACGGAAAGGCCCUGCUUUUGUGGGGUGCUCGAGUGGCGAACGGGUGAGUAACACGUGAGUAACCUGCCCUUGACUUUGGGAUAACUUCAGGAAACUGGGGCUAAUACCGGAUAGGAGCUCCUGCUGCAUGGUGGGGGUUGGAAAGUUUCGGCGGUUGGGGAUGGACUCGCGGCUUAUCAGCUUGUUGGUGGGGUAGUGGCUUACCAAGGCUUUGACGGGUAGCCGGCCUGAGAGGGUGACCGGCCACAUGGGGACUGAGAUACGGCCCAGACUGCUACGGGAGGCAGCAGUGGGGAAUAUUGCACAGUGGGCGGAAGCCUGAUGCAGCAACGCCGCGUGCGGGAUGACGGCCUUCGGGUUGUAAACCGCUUUCGCCUGUGACGAAGCGUGAGUGACGGUAAUGGGUAAAGAAGCACCGGCUAACUACGUG